AUGAGUCAUCAUGAUGGCAUCAACAUCCCUGAUGGCAAGUUCUACCUAGGAGAUGUUGGCUAUGCAUGUCGGCUAGGUGUUCUUCCACCCUUCAGGAAAACUAGGUAAAAUCUAAAUGAGUACUCUGAUAGGAACUAUCCUAGGACUCCACAGGAGCUGCUCAAUCUCAGACACUCCAACCUUAGAGUAACAGUUAAGAGUGCAUUUGAAGUUACGAAGAACAGGUUCAAGAUCCUAGAUCAGAAGCCAUUCCACUCUUACCCUCCCCAUGUUAAGCUUGUUCUUAUAUGUUGCAUUCUGCAUAACUCGAUCCUGCAAUGGGGUGUUGAUGAACUUGUGCCGGAGGAGGAAGAUGUGACUCCUGAUGAGAUGAUCAGCUCCGGCCAUGGUGUGGAUGCAUUCGACGACAAAGCAUGGAAGAAUAGAAGGUUGGAGUGGGCUCAGGCAAUAUGGGAUAACAAAGGUGAGACAAGGAUCUGA
rnacentral:rRNA from 1 species